UACAUGCUCCCUUAGAUCCACCUUUGUGGUUGCUUCACCUGUUCUGAGUUCUGUUGGUUGACUUCCAGUAGUUCCAGUUCAGUGACAACCAGCAACUUUUUGGUUGUACAGUCAAAGGUGCUUGAGUCAUUGGCAUGUAAGAGGAAUAUACCUUCACAUUGGCCUAUUAUGUUCUAAUGGCAACGGCUGCAGUAUUACUGUGCCCGUGUAUCACCAGUAGAAUGCGGCUAACGUGUGGACAGU